rnacentral:rRNA from 1 species
ACGCACGCUGGCGGCGUGCCUCAUACAUGCAAGUAGCACGCUGAAGGAGGAGCUUGCUUCUCUGGAUGAGUUGCGAACGGGUGAGUAACGCGUAGGUAACCUGCCUGGUAGCGGGGGAUAACUAUUGGAAACGAUAGCUAAUACCGCAUAAGAGUAGAUGUUGCAUGACAUUUACUUAAAAGGUGCAAUUGCAUCACUACCAGAUGGACCUGCGUUGUAUUAGCUAGUUGGUGAGGUAACGGCUCACCAAGGCAACGAUACAUAGCCGACCUGAGAGGGUGAUCGGCCACACUGGGACUGAGACACGGCCCAGACUCCUACGGGAGGCAGCAGUAGGGAAUCUUCGGCAAUGGACGGAAGUCUGACCGAGCAACGCCGCGUGAGUGAAGAAGGUUUUCGGAUCGUAAAGCUCUGUUGUAAGAGAAGAACGAGUGUGAGAGUGGAAAGUUCACACUGUGACGGUAUCUUACCAGAAAGGGACGGCUAACUACGUG